GCUUCCUUGCCAUCGCGGAGGGAGGACGCCCGAGCUCAUGCCAGAAAUGUAGUCGCUAACAAAGGCCUUCACUAUUUGCGUAGCGCCUGUUGAAGUUACAUGCUGUCUUCCUAGACGGGGGCUCCCUCGUGUUGUAAAUUUUAAGAAGCUGGCUGAAAGUCCUAUAACAGCUACAAUUUCUCGACCACGCCAAGGAAGCUGAGCAGUCAAAAUGGCGGCCUCAAAUCUCCAAAGCCCUCAUACUGUGGAACAUCGGCAGCGGCCACCCAAGUGCCGUUCGCCUUCUACCGGCACUGGGAGGUCUGGCUCCAAACAGUUCAGGGACGCUCCAGCUGAGGCAUACAAGUUGUCAGGGUGCAGGGAACAUGAACACAGGGGGCGUCCCUGCUCGGCCAGCGACGCAUGUUCAGAGAGGAUCUCAUUACGCCGACCUGGCAAGUUGUGGGUCGGACAGGUUGAAAUCGUUGUGCUCAACCCAUUUUGAGUCGCCAAUUUCCACAGGGUUGGCGCCCAAGCGUGCCCGGCGGUUUGGCAGCUUUCGGGUUCUGCUUCAGGCCGAGGUUUUUGAGGUCAGACGCCCUUGGACUUUGGCGGUAAACCGGCUGUUGCCUAUAGCCGCCGAGCGCCCGUGGAGCCUCCCCGCUUAUCACGGAAGGCGGCUCUGGGUUUUUGGUUGUCGUCCCUUGUGGAUGUCCAGACUGGCUCGUCGAGGGCUGCGGUUCUCUCUCGGGAUUUACGACCGGAUUUGCCCGGAGCUUUGGGGGCUGGUGGGUUCUGCUUGCAGGCGGAGGUUUUUGAGGUCAGACGCCCUUCGACUCUGGUGGCAAACUGUCGGUUCCUUAAGCUCCGAGCGUUUGCGGUCGUCCCGGCCAUCGGGAGUUCCCGCCUGAGCCUGAACGUCGAAAUGUUAGCGAAGCCCUACGAAUCUGCGCCCAUCAGGUUCCGUUGCCCUUGGGAAGCCGCGCCCGAUUCGCCCGGUGGUUUGGCGGGCGGCGGAUACUGUCUGUAGGCGGAGGUUUUUGAGGUCAGACGCCCUCCGACUUGGAUUGCGAUACGUUGUUUGCCUUGCCUCCGAGCGUCCCAGGACGGCUCCCGCCCUUCGGGCUAACGGUUCCGGGCUGUGAUUGCCGUGCGCAAGCCGCACGUGACACACCAUUUAUGUGCCGCACUUCCUGUGGCGCCCAGCUUUGGCAGCGGGCACUCAGUCGGGGCGCGCAGUUUCCAUGCUGGCCCGGCGGUUCGGCCGGUGGUGGGCUCCUGUUGUUAGGCGGAGGUUUUUGAGGUCAGACGCCCUCCGUCUUCGACUGUGAACCUCCGGUGGCUUUGGCACCGAGCCAGCAUGGACGAGCCGCCCAACUUGUUGAGCACUCCGCUGACGGACGCCGCAGAAGCAGCUUCCCUGCAAACUCUAGAGCGGCACGCGUAUAUGUGGCAGACCUCUCCGGGCAUGCGUGUCGCUUGGUCGCACACUCGUCACAGCGUGGUGGUACACGUGGGCUCACAUAAACGGUCAUAGUGUAGGUGAAGAAGCUGCGUUGGGUGGGCUCGGCGCACGCCCUUCUCGCGCGCGAGUGCUGGCUGCGCUGUGCGGCCUGCGGGCGGCCCACACUGCGACUCGAGCCGGGCCUGUGGCCAGCCAUUGAGCACGUUCGUCCGCGGCCGCUCACCGCGGUCUUGCGGGGGUCACUGCCUUGGGCGCCAUUCUCGCGACGCGGCGCGGUGUUGAACCGCUUCGUGGAGCGUAGAAGGCGUCCGCCCCCUGGCCGGUGGAUGGAGCGGUCCGGGCGAUGACCAUCAUUGGUGCGUAAAUAACCAAUGCGUGCACCUCUCCGGCGUCCCGGGUCCUCUGUCUGAUUGACUGCUUCUUGGAGCUCAAUUAGCUCCGUUAAGUGUCGGCCACGCCAGACUGGGGAAUUACUACUCGCGUGCGCGGCGCCCAGUCGCGUCGCUUGGCUGUCGGGAACUUUGGCGCGGGAUUAAAACCUUGCUGGUUUGUGCGGUUGCUCAUGUCCAGGUUAUGUUCUAGUGAUGCGCGCCAGGUGUUAGUGGUGGCGCGUAGUGGUGCGCGUGUGCCGCAAGGGAUACACAAAGCCACACCCCCAGGUGCAAGCAAGACCAGCAAGAUAUCCACGUCGUUCGUCCAUUCAUUGUGUGUCGUGAAAAAUAAGCCCCCCAGCCGGGGGUUGGUGCGGGAGUGUCAAACAAAGCCUGGCAUGUAGCAAGCGUCGUUCUCGCUAGGACCCGUAUGCCUAACCCGAGGGCGAGGUUACGCGCGGGGUCGUCGUGUCGCGACGGGCCCUAGCUUGCUUGCGCCUAUUCCAAAGGCCUCGCGUUGGGUCCAUCUUGGGCUCCAGGGCCGUCUGGGAUUGUCGCGGGAGGGCUUGUCGCACGCUUUUUUAACCGUUGUCUCGGGCGUGUUGGCUGGCUACGCUGUGCCUGGCUCGGAUCGCUGUCACUGGACUCUCCGCUGCUCCGCCGUGCGCAGCGGGCCAGCGCGCUUUGAAGGGUACCCGCCUUGCCGUCGCCCUGGUAGCGCUGGACACUCAAGGUACACCGGGGGCUGUCACACCACGACAUUAUAAUCGCAGACACUAGGACAAGUGCACCUGGAGCCUCGAAAGUGGUCGCACUGAAAGGCCUUUCUAAAAUGAUAUGGCGACACCGGCAGAAGAAAUACUCAAAGCCUCUACCGAAAGCAUCCUUUCAAGGUCCCGAAGACAUCUUUUGAAGAAACAUUGGGCACAGGCUGCAUCUAUACAUGGCACCCACUGGCGAAAGCUCCAGUCAAGGUCAAGAUCUCCACUCAAGAUUUCAAGGUCAAGAGCUCUACGUCAUCGAAGUGUUCAGUGCCGUGUGGUGGUUACGGUGGUGCGUGUUUUUUUUUUUUUAUUAUUUUUUUAUUUUUCCGCGAAAUGUGUCUCCACCCCCCUCAACGUGUACGAGCGCCAGAUUUAGUGGUCUUCCGCAUUCGGUGGUACACCCACGCUACCACCGCUUCCGGGAGACGCGGUGUUGUGCUUGUGCGUCUGUGAAGUGCUAUGGCCUGUUCGUUCCAGUGGUUCCGCACACUGCCCAGUGAAGUGCUUGAAGAUCUCUCUAGUGGGUGCCAUGUAGAGUCCGCAGACUGUGACCUGAAAGCUAACUGAAGCAAACCAAGAACUGAACUGUUACAAUGGUUCCUCUCUUCAACGUAUGGACUUCUCGAAAAGAAAAACGUCAGCACGUCACUGGUAGAUAGGGAAAGGGGAGGGUCAUCAUCGAGAAGCCAUUAGAGAGGAACUUGCUUUUGCAUUAAACAUUUGAAUUAAAA